ensembl:snoRNA
UGGAUCGAUGAUGACCUAUGCCAGCAUAUGAGUCAUCAAUGACGAAUAAUUCAUGUCUGGAACUCUAAGGUCCAA